GCUUGUGUAGAUCAGCGGUAGAUCGCUAUAUUCAACUUGCAGAGGAGGCGUGGGUUCGACUCCCACCGCAGGCA